UUUCCGUAGGUGAACCUGCGGAAGGAUCAUUACUGAGUGAGGGCCCCUCGGGGUCCAACCUCCCACCCGUGUUUAACGAACCUUGUUGCUUCGGCGGGCCCGCCCCACGGCCGCCGGGGGGCAUCUGCCCCGGGCCCCCGCCCCCCGGAGCCCCCUGUGAACGCUGUCUGAAGUAUGCAGUCUGAGACAAUUAUUAAAUUAAUUAAAACUUUCAACAACGGAUCUCUUGGUUCCG
rnacentral:misc_RNA from 1 species